UCCGCUCGCUCGCAUUCACCGUUUUAAGCUCAUAUCGAUUCUUGCAGUGCUGGACCGAUCUGGCCUUCAACUCCGCGCACUGAUGCUGUAGCCCGUUGUUCUGGGCGAAACUACCGCGGUCUGUGAAUAGGACCAUGAAUCCCAACCCUAAAUAAAUGGUCACCGGGAGUGGGGGGAAAGCUACUUUGGUGACGGUCACCGGCUCUUGAGACUCUCGGGAGAGAAAAGGAACGCGGAGUUUUCGGCGGUCAUUUGACAGGCGCCGCCACCUUGGACCGAUGCCGCCGGUUCAUAGGACUGUGUCGGACCUCCGGUCCCGUGCUGACGGUUAUGAAAAGACGGAAGACGCUUCAGAGAAGACCUCUCUAGCUGAUCAGGAAGACUCCCGGCUAAUAUUCAUCAAUCAGCCCCAGUUUACCAAAUUCUGCUGUAAUCGAGUCAGCACCGCCAAGUACAACCUGCUGACGUUCCUGCCUCGGUUCCUCUACUCUCAGUUCAGAAGAGCGGCCAACUCCUUCUUUCUCUUCAUUGCUCUGCUGCAGCAAAUCCCUGAUGUUUCGCCGACAGGACGAUGGACGACGCUGGUGCCCUUACUUUUCAUUCUGGUGGUGGCAGCAGUGAAAGAGAUCAUAGAGGACCUGAAACGUCACAAAGCAGACAAUGUCGUCAACAAGAAAAAGACGCAAGUAUUACGGAACGGAGCUUGGGAGAUUGUACACUGGGAGAAGGUUGUGGUUGGAGAUAUAGUUAAAGUAAAUGGCAAAGAUUAUGUACCAGCAGAUUCUAUACUCCUCUCGUCCAGUGAACCUCAAGGAAUGUGCUACAUAGAAACCUCAAAUCUGGAUGGAGAGACGAAUCUCAAGAUCAGACAGGGUCUGCAGAUCACCGCUGACAUUAAAGAUAUUGACAGUCUGAUGCGUCUGUCUGGGCGGAUGGAAUGUGAGAGUCCCAACAGACACCUGUAUGAGUUUGUGGGAAAUAUUCGCCUGGAUGGACACAGCACUGUACCACUGGGUCCAGAUCAGAUUUUGUUGAGAGGAGCUCAGCUCAGGAACACACAGUGGAUUCAUGGUAUUGUGGUUUAUACAGGCCACGAUACCAAACUGAUGCAGAACUCCACCCGUCCUCCUCUAAAGCUGUCCAACGUGGAGCGCAUCACAAACUUUCAGAUCCUCUUUCUUUUCGGCUGUUUGUUGGCCAUCUCGCUUGUGUGCUCCAUCGGCCAGACCAUCUGGAAAUACCAGUACGGCAACGACGCCUGGUACAUGGACCUCAACUAUGGCGGAGCGGCUAACUUCGGCCUGAACUUUCUCACCUUCAUCAUCCUCUUCAACAACCUGAUUCCCAUCAGUCUUCUGGUGACUCUGGAGGUCAUAAAGUUCGUCCAAGCUUUCUUCAUCAACUGGGACACUGACAUGAUGUAUGAAGUCACCAAUACACCAGCUCAGGCCAGGACGUCGAACCUGAAUGAAGAACUGGGACAGGUGAAGUACAUCUUUUCGGACAAGACUGGCACCCUGACCUGCAACGUCAUGCAGUUUAAGAAGUGCACCAUUGCAGGCGUGGCCUAUGGUCAUGCAGCUGAAGUUGAGGAUGGUAGUUUUGCAGAGGAGGACUGUCACAGCUCUCAAUCCACAGAGGAAACUGGAUUUAAUGACCCCAGUUUAUUGGAAAAUCUCCAAAGCAAUCAUCCCACCGCUCCUGUCAUUAUGGAGUUUAUGACCAUGAUGGCUAUCUGUCACACAGCCGUGCCCGAACGCACGGAUGGCAGCAUCACCUACCAGGCUGCAUCACCAGAUGAAGGAGCUCUGGUGCGGGCGGCACAAGGCCUGGGCUUCGUGUUCUCGGGGAGAACUCCAGACUGUGUUAUUGUGGAUUCGUUCGGAGAAGAGGAGAAAUAUGAAUUGCUGCACGUUUUGGAAUUCACAAGUCCCAGAAAGAGGAUGUCAGUCAUCAUGCGUACUCCAUCAGGAAAGAUCCGCCUUUAUUGCAAAGGAGCCGACACGGUGAUCUAUGAGCGAUUAGCUGACAGUUCCAGAUACAAGGACAUCACCCUGAAACACCUGGAACAGUUUGCAACAGAAGGCCUACGCACCCUCUGUUUUGCUGUGGCGGAUAUAUCUGAAUCCACUUACCAGCAGUGGCUGGAAAUUUACCAUCGUGCUUCAACAUCACUUCAAAACAGAGCCCUCAAGAUGGAGGAGAGCUAUGAACUUAUUGAAAAGAACUUGCAGCUGCUGGGGGCCACAGCCAUUGAAGACAAACUGCAAGAUAAAGUCCCAGAAACCAUUGAGACCCUUAUGAAAGCGGACAUUAAGAUCUGGAUCCUCACUGGUGACAAACAGGAGACCGCCAUCAACAUAGGACACUCGUGCAAACUUCUCACGAAGAACAUGGGCCUGCUGGUGAUCAACGAGGACACCCUGGAUGGUACGAGGGAGAUCCUUAGUCAUCACUGCGGCAUACUGGGAGAUGCUCUGCACAAAGAGAACGACUUUGCACUUAUCAUUGACGGCAAGACGCUGAAGUAUGCCCUCACCUUCGGGGCCCGUCAGUACUUCCUGGAUCUGGCCCUUUCAUGCAAAGCUGUGAUAUGCUGCAGGGUUUCUCCUCUGCAGAAGUCUGAGGUGGUCGAGAUGGUAAAGAAGCAGGUGAAAGUGAUCACUCUGGCUAUCGGAGAUGGAGCCAAUGAUGUGGGCAUGAUCCAGACCGCCCAUGUGGGUGUCGGGAUCUCUGGCAAUGAGGGCCUGCAGGCUGCCAACUCAUCCGAUUACUCCAUUGCACAGUUCAAAUACUUGAAGAAUCUUCUGCUUGUUCACGGCGCCUGGAACUACAACCGCGUUUCCAAGUGCAUCCUGUAUUGCUUCUACAAGAACAUUGUGCUUUACAUUAUAGAGAUCUGGUUUGCGUUUGUAAAUGGUUUCUCUGGUCAGAUUCUGUUCGAGCGCUGGUGCAUCGGCCUGUACAAUGUGAUCUUUACUGCUCUGCCUCCUCUCACUCUGGGCAUCUUCGAGCGAUCCUGCAGGAAAGAGAACAUGCUGAAAUACCCUGAACUCUACAAAACCUCCCAGAAUGCAAUGGGCUUCAACACUAAGGUCUUCUGGGCCCAUUGUCUGAACGGCCUGUUUCACUCCGUCAUUCUCUUCUGGUUCCCCCUCAAGGCCUUCCAGCACGACACGGUCUUUGGAAACGGGAAGACACCAGACUAUCUCCUCUUAGGCAACAUGGUUUACACAUUUGUGGUGAUCACGGUCUGUUUGAAAGCUGGGUUAGAGACGUCGUCUUGGACCAUGUUCAGUCACAUUGCCAUCUGGGGCAGCAUUAUAUUGUGGAUAGUCUUCUUUGGCAUCUACUCUUCUUUAUGGCCACUGAUCCCUCUGGCUCCGGAUAUGUCAGGAGAGGCAGAAAUGAUGUUCAGCUCGGGACUCUUCUGGAUGGGCCUGAUCUUUAUUCCCAUCACCUCUCUGGUGUUUGAUGUGGCAUACAAAGUCAUGAAGAAGGUGUGUUUCAAGACCCUGGUGGAUGAGGUGCAGGAGUUGGAGGCGCUGUCUAAAGACCCCGGAGCCGUUGUGCAUGGAAAAAGUUUGACUGAGAGGGCCCAGCUUCUGAAGAACGUGUUCAAGAAGAGCACCGUCAAUCUGUACCGAUCCGACUCCAUGCAGCAGAACAUCCUCCGUGAGGAUGAGGGAUGUUCAAUGAUAGUUUAAUGUCCUUAGAUGCAUUCUUACCCUUAGCUCACACCGCAAAGCAUUACAGUUACCUGUGAAAAUGCAUUUUAGCAUCAUUCGCUUUCCUUAACGUCCCUCUCAUUCCCCACCUCCUACGCAUGUGCUGCUAUGUUUUGAAUGAGUCAUGUUUAAUCAUUUCAAUGCCCGCUAUCAUUCCCACAAUGCAUUGCCCUCCUCGGCCUCUUUCAUGUGCCUCCCAGGCCAGCAGGUAGAGGUUGAGUCAAAUGAGACCUAAGAUGGCUACGCAUUCUCUCAAGAUGAGAACGGAGUGCUGUCCCAGUCUGAGGUCAUCAGAGCCUACGACACCACCAAGCAGCGGACCAAUGAGUGGUGAGAUCCGGCUCGAUGGUCCCCCCCUCAGCGGCCACUCUACUUUUAAAGGCCGUCAGCCUGUCGGUUUAUCUUUGGCCAGCUUGGGGCACCCUGGGCAACAACGGAUAUGAAAAACAUGUUUGGGUAGGGGAGAGAUAUUCUCAUCUUGGGCUUUGAAAGGAAACAAAGAUUUAAGGGUUUGUCUGUUGAACAGCAGACACAAGCACUGUGCUAGAAUACUUUUUGCCCAGUGUACGGUCAGUAUAAAUUUGUGAUUUUUCAAGUGGAGGAGAGCAAACGUGAUGAACUGACUCUCCUCUCCUCCACCAUUCCUUCGGCUCUGAGUGUUGCAGCCAAAAAUGUGACGAUGAAGGUGUCGAGAAACGUUUGUGUGCUCUUCAACUGUGACGUCCUGUUUAUUAAUGCCACAUCUGUUGGUCAGAAUGUUCCCUUUUUGUUUUUAGUGUAUAGUUGUUUUUUAUUUGCAUUUAAAGUUUCACGUUCCAAAGAACAAUAUGAAUGCAGUCCCUGUUUUAAAGAAAUCGUAGGAAAACAAUUGUUAUGUGGUCCUUUACACUUGUUAAAUGCUUUCUGCACUAAUGUGACCACUUCACAUUCAACUUUUUAUUUUCAUGUUAAAUCGAACAUUACAAGGCCUUACAUGUGUUGUUGCCUUCUACCAUAACUGGAUGCUUUUUUUUGUGUGAAAUAUUUGUGGAUUUUUCUCUUCAGUCAGUUUAUCGUGCCUGAUUCUUUCAGAUCUCUUUCAGCUCGCACGUAUCUGUCAUUUUAUACAAUUUGGCAUCAUUUCAACGGCUCUCUUGAACAAGUCUCUGCAAUCCACAUAUUACACGGCUGCAAUGAUCACAAAGGUGCCUAACUGGAACUGCUUUUCCCCAGUGAGAUAGAAUUUCAGAGAAUAGGUAGCGGUAUAGCACGCUUAAAGGGAUACUUCACCCAAAAAUAAAAACUCUGUCAUCAUUUGCUCACCUUCGACUUGUUCGAAAUCUGUAUAAAUUUCUUUGUUCUGAUGAACAAAGAAAAAGAUAUUUGGCAGAAUGCGUAUUACCAGAGAUAUUUUGACCCCCAUUGACUACCAUAGUAAAAAAAAAAAACGGUAGUGCCCCAGAACUGUUUGCUGUCCAACAUUCUUCAAAAUGUCUGUUCAACAGAACAAGUCAUUUUUCCUAAUAUGGGAGUCAAUGGGAGGAAAAAUCUGUCUGGUUACAAGCAUUCUUCCAAAUAUCUUUCUCUGUGUUCAUCAGAACAAAGACAUUUAUACAGUUUUGGAACAACUCGAUGACAGAAUUUUUCAUUUUUGGGUGAAGUGUCUCUUUAAGUUAGACAAAAACAACGACAUCGUCCAUCUCAUAAUAUGUUGUCCAUGUUGUAUCAGGCUGCUAUAGGAGUGUGAGUCGAUAUUUUUAGGCCUCACAUUGAACAGUUUAUGGUCGUGUUUAAUAACGCGUUGUUCGCCGUAACAUUUAUUCAACAAUUCCCACAACACAGUUUCAAUCCUUCAAACGCAAGUGCCAUUAGCAUAGAAGAACGGAGGAUUUCGCCACACCCGUAUCGAUACAACUGUCUCAAUAGUUAUUUUGUGAAUUUGUAUUUUUAUAUUGGACGUAAGUGUGACUUUUUGGACCGACCUGCUUUGUAAUGAAACCGUGUCCCUCUUUUGUGGCUCCUCUUCACAAACCGGUGGUGGUUCAUGAGCUUUGCCUGUGACUACAACUGUCGUAUUGACGCUUCUUUAUUUGAUGGUGGAGUUUGUGCGUUAGUUUCCUUCUCCCCGUGGGAGAGCACGUUUUGUACAGCGUGUCUGCGCAACGUGUGUCGUCUGCAUGUGCAUGUGAGCUAAGGAUGCGUGUUUGUGUAACGUUACGUGUGGCUGUGCGAGCAUAUGUCUCGAUCCCUUCGGUAUGCAUGUCCGUUUAUUGUUUUAAGGUCGCUCUCUCGUUGAAUCACCCUGUUUGCUUGAGAGACUCGAAAUGUUUGAGAAUGUGUGAAGUCCUGUUUGUCUGAAUGUGUGGUGCUGCUUGUUUUGUUCGUCUGCACGACUCCAGGUAUACUAAGGUGAGCUAUAUGCCGAUGCAUGGCCCUGUAUGUUAACAGGUGUGUGUGCAGGUGUAUGUGUGCGAGUCUCUAAAUGUAUCUCUGUUCGUAUGAAGCUCUGCUAAAGCUUGACCGGAGAUGUUGCACAGUGCACUCUUUUAUAGUUUACGUGAUUAAUAUCUUCUAUCUACUUAAUUAUCAGUUGCAAUAUUAUUUAUCUUGGAUGGAUGUAUAUGUUUGUUAUUUAGUUUCCAAUCUCAGUGCAACUCUUCUUCUUCAAGCCGAUAUGUCUUUUUUACACAACAAGAAUAGAAGGCUACAUUUAUGGUUAUGUGCAUUUUGUUUCUUAAGGUGUGCUAUUGAGUGGUCUGGUUGUUUGUUGUGGGUCGUCUCACUGGUUCAAACGCUGACUUUAGGGCCCUAUGAUGUAACGUAUGUAUGACAUGACAUAGGGGCUCGGACUGUUGCUUUCUGAAAUGUCGUCUGUCGAAGUAAUGCAUGAAUGGAAAAUCAUUCUUCGGUUAAGCCUAAAUGUUAAUUGUAAGCCUCUAGCGUCGGUCACUUUAAAGAAUGAAAAUGCACUUUGGUUUGAAUUCUCUAUUGGGUGUUUUGUUUUGCUUUUAAAUCUUUCUUUUAUGUCUUUUUUUUCAACGAUUGUUUAGCAUGUUGGAACUGCAAACUUUUAAGUGUCGUCUUUAACUGCCAUAAAGGACUACUGAAAUAAACAUUGCAACUGAA